rnacentral:rRNA from 1 species
UACGAAGGGGGCUAGCGUUGCUCGGAAUCACUGGGCGUAAAGCGCACGUAGGCGGACUCUUAAGUCGGUGGUGAAAUCCUGGAGCUCAACUCCAGAACUGCCUUCGAUACUGAGAGUCUCGAGUCCGGGAGAGGUGAGUGGAACUGCGAGUGUAGAGGUGAAAUUCGUAGAUAUUCGCAAGAACACCAGUGGCGAAGGCGGCUCACUGGCCCGGUACUGACGCUGAGGUGCGAAAAGCGUGGGGAGCAAACAGG